AUGUUAAAAUAACUGGAUAUGAUGCGAAGUCUAAAUUAAAAUGUUUUUUUAGUCUCUUUUUUCCCUACUCGCUACACCUCACAAGAUUGCAAACACGAAACAUCGAAGAAUUAUACAUGAGUUUGAAAGAAUUAAUUUAUUUUGAAAGAUUAAUAUUGCUGGCUGAUAUAUCGAACAAGUUGGUGCAGAAAGUGAACAUAACUUCCACCAUCUUGUACCUCCUUUCCAAGCAUCACCUCGCCUUCAAUCUCAGACUUGCAUGAGAACAAUGAGUUGCUCAGGACGGGCCGGUCAAGUCAUCUUCUGCCUCGUGAUAUUGAAGUUGUAUUGUCAACUAACUGUGUCACAAUUAUGCCCCAAAGAUGAAAGCUAUGCUUUACUCCAACUUAAGGAUGGAUUUGAGUAUGAUGAAUCCGCUUCGUUGGAUUGCAGCCCUCCUUAUCCUAGGAUGGCCUCAUGGAAAUCUCGAACAGAUUGCUGUUCGUGGGAUGGAGUCGCAUGCCAUGGGGUCACAGGUCAUGUGAUCGCUCUUGACCUUAGUUGCAGUGGUCUUAGAGGCAACCUCAGUUCCAACAGCUGUCUCUUUCACCUUUCACACCUUCGGAGACUCAACCUUGCUUUCAAUUAUUUUAACCGCUCCUCCAUUCCACCUGAGUUUGGUAUGUUUUCAAGUUUGACACACCUUAACCUUUCUAGCACAUGGUUCUCAGGUCAAGUCCCAACUGAAAUAUCUCACUUGUCCAAAUUGAUCUCUCUUGAUCUUUCCUUGAAUGAACCAUUGAUACUCGAAGCACCAGCCAUGAAAAUGAUUGUGCAAAACCUUACUCAACCUCGUAUUAUGUGGAUUGCAAGGCAUUUACCUGUGUCCAAUUGGAGCAGUUCUCUUGAACAGUUGAAUCUUGGCUCCACAAGUUUCUCAGGAGGAUUGCCAGAUAUAAUUGGCAAUCUUGACUCCAUCAAGGUGUUGGAUCUUGCAAACUGUGCUUUCUACGGAUCAGUUCCAGCUUCGCUUGGGAAUCUUCAACAGCUCAAUCAAUUAGAUCUUUCGUAUAACAACUGGACAGGGCAGAUCCCGGAUGUUUUCGGCAACCUCAGCAAACUAAACAGCCUAUCCCUUCAAAACGGUAAUUUCAGUGGUAUGUUGCCAUCAUCUGUCUUUAACCUCACUGAACUUCUACGUUUAGACCUGUCUCAAAACCAGCUAGAGGGAACUCUUCCUGAUUACAUAUGUGGCCUUGACAAUGUUACUUAUCUUGACCUAUCUUAUAACUUGCUCAGUGGCACAAUACCAUCUUGUUUGUUCGGUCUCCCAUCAGUGGUCCGGUUUAAAUUUAAUAAUAACCACCUCACUGGAGAACUUGGUGACCAUUGGUCAAAGUCUUUGCUAGAAAUAAGACUGGAAAGUAACAAGAUAAAUGGUCGUAUUCCACCAUCAAUCUCUGGAUUGGUGAAUCUCACCAAUUUUGAUGUUUCAUCAAACAACUUGAGCGGUAUUGUGGACUUAAACCUGUUUUCAAACAUGAAAAACCUCUGGGGACUUGAUCUUUCACACAACAGUCUGUCUGUCGUCACUAAUAAUAUUAGGAACUCAACCUGGCCCCAAUUCUACAAACUGGCAUUGUCGUCUUGCAACAUAAUUGAGUUCCCAGACUUCUUGAAAAUUCAAAAUCAACUCAACUUUUUGUCCCUAUCCCACAAUAGAAUUCAUGGAGAAAUUCCCAAAUGGCUGUCAGCAAAGGGGAUGCAAUCUUUACAAUAUUUGGAUCUUUCUCACAACUUUCUGACCAUUGUCAACGAACUUCCUCCCAGCUUACAAUAUCUUGACCUCACUUCCAACUUGCUUCAACAACCAUUUCCAAUUCUUCCACAAUCCAUGUACAUUCUUUUAAUAGCAAAUAAUAAACUCACUGGAGAAAUCCCACCUUGGAUUUGCAAUAUCACCACCUUCCAAAUCAUAAACUUAUCUAAUAAUAGUUUGAGUAGCAAUAUUCCACAGUGCUUGGGGAACUUCAGUACUGAACUAUCCGUGUUGAAUUUGAGGAGCAACAGCUUCCAUGGCACCAUUCCAGGAUCAUUUACAGAGGGAAAUAAAGUAAGAAGUCUUGAUUUGAAUGGCAAUGAGUUGGAAGGAUCGUUACCACUAUCCUUAGCUAAUUGCAAAAUGUUGGAAGUCCUCGAUCUGGGAAACAAUUACAUAAAUGAUAGUUUUCCCCUUUGGCUGCAAACUCUUCCGAAGCUACAGGUUCUGGUGCUGCGCUCUAACAGACUACAUGGUUCUAUAGGCAAUCCCACUGUGAUAUCUCCUUUCUCUAGUCUACGAAUCAUUGAUCUCUCGCACGAAUCAUUGUAGGCCCUAUUCCUCAUGGUAGUCAAUUUGACACCUUUCAGAAUGAUUCAUAUGUUGGAAACUUGCUGCUGUGCGGAUUUCCGUUAUCUGUGAAAUGUAGUGGUGAUGUGGCACCACAACCCCCACCAUUCCAAGAGAAUGAAGAUCCUGCAAGCUUAUUCAAUUGGAAGUUUGCCAUGAUAGGUUAUGGAAGUGGGCUGGUGAUUGGAUUGUCCAUGGGAUAUAUUGUAUUCACGACAGGAAAGCCACAAUGGUUCGUAACGAAGGUCGAGGUUGAACAAAAGAAAUGGUUAAGAAGACGGACAAAGAGGAACAUAUAAAAAGCAAGUGGUGCUCUCAGACCAUCUACCAUGGCCGCAUCCACUUUAAAACCGACCCAAACAUUGAUUUACACAGUGAAACAGUAAAGGAGAGGGAAUCUUAUUCAAGCAGAUAAAAGAAGAAUUUAGAAAAACAGAAAGGAAGCUUGUUACACCUUUGGACAUAAUUGAGCUGUUAUGCAGUGUCCUCUGAUUGGAAAGCAAAUGCCUGGCUUUUUAGCGGGAAAUCCAGUCUGAAAAUCCCUUUAGAUUGCUGGCCGUGUCCCAUGAUGCUACAUUGUACUAAUUCAAAUAUAUUCUACCUCUUCAGUUCUUUAUUUUGGAAUCAGAAAACACAAAUUAAACCUGUAUCUAAG